GAGACAUUUAUAUUUAUAUUUACAUGAUUUAUGCACACAGCCUGUUUUGCUACGUAAACCAAACGGAACAAAAAAAUGAUUUUAUAGCUUAAAACUACAGAUGCGUUUAUGCCUUCUAAAAGCAUGUCGGUGUCUUGUAGGUUUUAGAUGUAUCGCUACUUCAACACACGAGUCAAAUAAUUGGGUAACUAGCAGGACUCUGGAGAACUUGACUGCACUGAGGUAACUCAGCCAUUUGAGGCAUGUUGGACCAGGGACGCAUCUAAAAGUUUCAGAACACUGGACUUUUAUUUGAGGAUGCCUGGUGUAGAGUAGCUCUCUUAUUGUAGAAAGAUCGGCUGACUUCUAUCACUGAUUGAUUCAUCUCCAGUUUCAUUCUCAGUGAUUUAAUAUGUUCAGUGUUGCAGUGCAUAAUGAAAUGAUUUAAAUGGCCAUUGUGGUUCAGACACAAUCAUUUUGAUUAGAUCACAGAAAGCCGUGCCAAUUGUCUUCUCUGAGAAAUAAUUAAAUCUAAGAAAAAUUCAGUAGUUUUUUAUAAAACAGCCUUGGUGUAAAAGUAAUAGUUUCUCUAAAUAAAAUCGGGUUUUUUUCAGUUGUUAUUGACUCAUUCCCUAUUGUCUGCAUCUUUCCUGUCUGAGCUUACUUGCGUUUUGAAUCACUGAUGUUUGAAUAGAUAUCAGGCUACAAAAUUUCUGAAAUUUAUGUCGCUUUUGACAUGAGUGGAGUUACUGACGUUUUGUUGUUGAUCUGACUAUACAGGCAGAGUAAAGUGGUGAACAAAUACAGGGCAUCAUACAUAACGGGUAGUGGCACGAGGUCUGAACAGCUUCUGGGUUUUUUUUCUAUUUUCUUUCACUUUCUGUUUUUUCUGUAAUGCUUAAUUGGCUUUGAUUGCCUUCUUUGUUAAAAGUAGUUUAUAUGAAUAAUUACCAAAGAGAUUUUAGGAUAUUUAGGAGCAGUUACCUCUGUGGGCUAAGUUAACAUCCUACAAUUCGUAUUCACAAAAUUAAAAUAUAGUCAUAAUUUUUUAGAUGGUGACUUCUCCUUUUUGCUUCAUUGAUUUUUUGCAACAUAAAUUACUUUGGCAUCCCUUGUCAAAUUGCUGCAUCAUUACGCUUUGUACCGCAACAGGUUGCGUUACAUUCCCUAUGCCGCCUUUACAGUGAAAACCAGUUUGACAUUUACGUUGUUGGUAACCCGACACAUUGCCUAACAAUAUUGAGAAUUAAAUCUGUAGACGGUUGCUGGAGGAUUAAAACUACUCAUAGAAAAAAAAGACAUUGUUCAUUUGUAUUGAACUAUGGGGCAGAUGAACAGCAAAGCUGAAAAGGAUUAGGGUGCCGACAAGCCUUGAUGCUUUGUGCCGUGGUAGCACAACAGCUGACACUGAUCUUUUCCAGAAAUUUGAAAAACCGCAGCAACACUCAGUAUCUGUCAGAGUAAAUUAUAGUAAGCAACACACUACUUUCUGCGAGUCUAAAAUUUUCUUGAUUACUGACAACCUCUUCUGUCUGCAUACCAGUAGGAAUGGGAUGGGCAGAAAGACAGACCAUCAUAAGACCAAACAGAACAGGCCUGUAAGGUAAUGACAGAAGAAGAGAUGCACCAAUUUUUGUAGCCAAUUAUAUGCAUUUUCUUAAACUUAUGUUCAGCCAAAAUCAAUUGGCCAGAAAUCCUUUUAAAUGUGAAGUGUGAGCGUUAGUGUUGACAGGUGUGGAUGUUUAACCCCUUAACUGACAAUCCUUGGAUGCAAGCCAGUGGGUCCAUGAGGACACCCGCAUCCUCAUGACAGAGACUGAAUGUGCAGGCGUGAAGCAAAAAGCCAAACCAAAUCAAUUGACAAAGUGGACCAAGCCAAGAUUCAGAACCAAAAACCCAGUUAAAUGUGCAAUGUGGGGCAAGUGAGAACAACUCAAAGAUCUUAGUAGCAAGUGGGUUUUAUUAUAACCAGGAGCUUUAGCUCCAGGUUUUUACGGUUAGAGCCUUAAAGACCUUGAGCCAGAUGUCUGGCCACUCCUACUAUACAUGAACAGACAAACUGCAUGUCAUCACAUGAAAAAUGGAAAAGAAAGUCAAGAUGGCAGGGAGUACAGAAACUUGACAUCUGUUGCUGCUCUGAGUCUGCCAUACCUCUUCCUGUCAGAAUACUCCAAAGUGUUGGAGAGUCAAGAUCUUGCAUGAUGAUUGCUCACAGGACAAUCACUUCAAUCUGGUUGUAGGUUUUACAAGUUGAGGUUUCUACAAGAAAGCCUUUGAUGAGAUCCCAGAAUAAAAAGACAUGUUGCAGAUAUUUGUUUUAUUUAAUUUUUUUUCAGAUGUCCGCCAUUGUCCGUGUAGCUAAAAUGACCAUUUCUGAUUCUUUCGAGAUGUAUUUAAAUCACUUGCCAGACUCCUACGCUGCUAAAAUCUUAAGGUCUUUGACUGAUCUGUGGAUCUCACCGCGGUGUUGGUUCUCACUUUCACAGUCAAGAACCUACCAAACUACAGAUAUGAGGUUUAGAAAGGGCAACCUUCCUUUAAAAUUGCUAAGUAAUUAUGUUAUAAGUAUGUUUGAUGGGAAACACCACUGUGGGAUUUUAAUUUUUAGGUAGGAAUAAAUCUGUGUGAUAUAUUUUUUUUUCCCCCCAGCAUUAGUAAAAUUGCUAUGAAAUCUCAACAUGUCUAAAUAUGCUGGAAAAGGUCAGAAUGUAUUUUUGGUUUUAUAAAUUUUUUUCAAUGAUUUCUUUAACCACAUCAGUUCAAAGUACAAUAAGACAUUAAACUUCUUUAACUUCAAGAAAUAAAGCUUGACAAUUAUUGUAUUAAACUUGUGACGUAGUUUACCUGUAGGUGCCUCUUAUUAGUUGUUUUUCAUUAGUUUGUCUUGUGCAUUAUUUUUUAUUUCUUACUGCCUUCUAUAAUCUACCCAUUAUGCCAAAACCUGUUGAUCAAUAAGCCCAUUAUUUCUAACAGCCACGUUAAUAGUUAAUUUUCCGUUUUUACUUCUGAUGCAGUGCUAGAACAGUCAUAUAUUCAAUGUUGUUUUUUACGAAGCAUACUUAUUAAGCAGUAAGAUGCAUUUUAAUCAUCCUUUUAACCUUCUUUACAAACUGGAUAUUAGCUUAGCUGCUAUGUUUUAUUUUUUUCUCCCCCCCUUUUUGCACUGCAUCUGCACACAAAUUGUAAUAUACCGUCCAUGUUGAAGUACUAAAAGUACUCAGUGUGGAGUGUGAUUUUCCUUUUUUUUAGCCUUAGUUUCCAAACGAGUCAUAGAUUUGCAUGCAUGAGGUUUUCUUCUUUGCUUUCCAGUCGUGUGGUGGAGACAAGCAGGGCCAGAAAUGAAGCAACAAGGGUGCAGGAUGCUUUGGUCUUUUCUCAACUACUCUCAAGCUUCAAUUACAUUUGUGAAACUGACACAAGUUAGAGCUUCCACAUGUAGAUCAUAAUGAGAUUUUAUGUCAAAUGUGAAGCCUGGAGGUGAUGAAUUGGUUGGAAAGCUCUGUCAUGAACUGCUGUUGAAGGGAUUUUUUCUUUUAGCUGUGAGAACUCUGUCUAAAUUUAGUCUUUCUCCUCAGUUGGAGGUGUAAAAAAAAAAAAGGUGUCUGUUCCUUUAAGGUACGGAACCAGGAAGACUGUCGGCAAUUGCAUUACUCGUACUCAGACUUUCCCGUGGGAGUGCUCAGUGAGGUAGAGGGAGGGGGAAAAAAACCCUCUACCAACCCGUGUUGAAUUACAGAUUUCUAGAUCUUGCUUAAAUCUUUUCCAUGGUAUCUGCCUCUAUUCAAAAAGAAACGCAAUCUGCUGUACAUCAGUAAACAAAAACAAGUCUUUGCUUCCCCCUUCACUUCUAGUAAAGGAAAAGGAACUAAAGUCUCAAUAGCUAGGUAUAUCUGCGCUUCAUCACAGAUGUGAGACAUGUGUUCCAGUGGAUUUCUCUCUGCACACCUGCCAUCUUUGUUGGAAAGCCCCACCUUCUUCAUGACGUGUUGAAACAGACGGAUAGCUUUUGUCUUCAGCUGGUCCUGUCCCACAGCAUUGGUGCCUUGUGUUCCACCACACGCCUCCUCUGAAAACACAUCUUUUGCAAACAAAGCAGAUUCCUGGCAAGGAUUGUGUCACGCCAGGAAAUGACCUAGGAAAUUGGUGACGAGAACUCUGGAAAAUGAGAGGAAGUAUUCAAGAAAGGAAUCCAGGAAAUACGAGUCAAGGAGAACUAAUAUUUAAGGACUGCCUCAUCUGAUCACUGACUCAAUGUAGAAAAUGCACAACAUUUGUCAUCUAUCUGAUAGCAUGAUGACAUUUACAGAUGCCAUUAAUAUUUUUAUUACACUAAGACCAUGUCUCCUGCUUAUAUGUCCUUCCAUAAAGUUAUACAAUAUGUUUUAUCAUUGAGGGAGCAAUAAAUUGAGGUGCACCACUGCAUUUUUAGGAGUGAGACUAGGCAUGGACUGUUGUGGUUUCACAAUAGCGUUAGGUUAUCAAAGUGUUUGCUCAAAUAUUUAAAAAAAAAUCCAACUGUCUUUUUCUAACCAGAAAAUUGAUAAAACAAUAUGAUAUUGACUAUUAUGGUUAUAAUUAUUUUUUGCUGUUUCCUUUUUUCAAACAUAGCAUAGUAUAAAUGGAAUGGGAUAUAGGUGUGAAGAGGAACACAGUUUGUGUGACUCUGUCUUGAUCCAGCCAGUGAAAACUCUGAUCUCUGCAACACUUCCUCCUGCAGCCAUUAACCAUCCCAUUCCCAAUUCUCGUCAAAGCAGUCUGAACUUGUAAUGAGCAAGAAUGCCUACUGGUUGUAGCUAUGGCUUCAUGAUCUCUUUGGCUUCUUAUAUUUAAUGUAAAUAUGCAGAAACAUGGAGCAUCUUAAAAGAAAAUUUAUGAGAAUAGAACAAAAUAUUGCCUAUGUAUGUUUUUUUUCUUUCGUAUUUGGAUUGGAAAGACGUCCUUUUUCCUGUUGAGGAUUUUCUUGGCAUCGUCAGUGCUUGCCUUGUAUUUCGAGAAGAGCCAGUCCCACAGAUGUCUCUGUAUUUUAUCCCACGACAUAUUUGAAGAUGUGCAUUUUGGAAUGGAUGAAAUUGUCAUUAGAUUAUGAAGGUUAUAGUUUAAUAUUUUGUCAAAACAUUCUGUAUUAGCCAUGCGCUGAAACAACAGAAGAUCAUAACUG